AGAGUUUGAUCAUGGCUCAGAACGAACGCUGGCGGCGUGCUUAACACAUGCAAGUCGAGUGCGCGCCUGUAGCAAUACAGGUGGCGCACGGCGCACGGGUGCGUAACACGUGGGUAAUCUGCCCUCUGAUGGGGAAUAACUCGCCGAAAGGCGAGCUAAUUCCGCAUAAUAUUCCGAGAACUUUGGUUUUUGGACUGAAAGGCGUAAGUCGUCGGAGGAGGAGCCCGCGCACGAUUAGCUAGUUGGUAGGGUAAUGGCCUACCAAGGCUUUGAUCGUUAGCUGGUCUGAGAGGAUGGCCAGCCACACUGGAACUGAGACACGGUCCAGACUCCUACGGGAGGCAGCAGUGGGGAAUCUUGCACAAUGGGCGAAAGCCUGAUGCAGCGACGCCGCGUGGGGGAUGAAGCUUCUCGGAGUGUAAACCCCUUUCGAUCCGGACGAAACCCCGCAAGGGAUUGACGGUACGGAUAUAAGAAGCCCCGGCUAACUACGUGCCAGCAGCCGCGGUAAUACGUAGGGGGCCAGCGUUGUUCGGAAUUACUGGGUGUAAAGGGUUCGUAGGCGGUGCGGCAAGUUGGGAGUGAAAUCUCUGGGCUUAACCCAGAGACGGCUUCCAAAACUGCUGUGCUUGAGUGUGGGAGAGGCUCGUGGAAUUGCAGGUGUAGCGGUGAAAUGCGUAGAUAUCUGCAGGAACACCCGUGGCGAAAGCGGCGAGCUGGACCACUACUGACGCUGAAGAACGAAAGCUAGGGGAGCAAACAGGAUUAGAUACCCUAGUAGUCC
rnacentral:rRNA from 1 species